rnacentral:rRNA from 1 species
AAUCAACGCUGGCGGCGUGCCUCAGACAUGCAAGUCGAACGAUUAAAGCUCUCUUCGGAGAGUGCAUAGAGUGGCGCACGGGUGAGUAACACGUAAGUAAUCUACCUUCGAGUGGGGAAUAACGUCCGGAAACGGACGCUAAUACCGCAUAAUGCAGCGGCAUCGCAAGAUGUCAGUUGUUAAAGAUUUAUCGCUUGAAGAGGAGCUUGCGGCAGAUUAGCUAGUUGGUAAGGUAAUGGCUUACCAAGUCUACAAUCUAGAACCGGUCUUAGAGGACGGUCGGACACACUGAGACGGAAUAACGGGUCAGGCUCCUACGGGAGGAAGCAGUCGGGAAUUUUGGGCAAUGGGCGAAAGCCUGACCCAGCAACGCCGCGUGAAGGAUGAAGUAUUUCGGUAUGUAAACUUCGAAAGAAUGGGAAGAAUCAAUGACGGUACCAUUUAUAAGGUCCGGCUAACUACGUGCCAGCCGCCGCCGUAA